rnacentral:rRNA from 1 species
UACGUAGGGUGCAAGCGUUGUCCGGAAUUAUUGGGCGUAAAGAGCUCGUAGGCGGUCUGUCGCGUCGGACGUGAAAAUCCAGGGCUCAACCCUGGACCUGCGUUCGAUACGGGCAGACUAGAGUUCGGUAGGGGAGACUGGAAUUCCUGGUGUAGCGGUGAAAUGCGCAGAUAUCAGGAGGAACACCAAUGGCGAAGGCAGCUCGCUGGGACGUGACUGACGCUGAGGCGCGAAAGCGUGGGGAGCAAACAGG